CUGUCAGCCUGAAAGCUGCAUCUAGUGUGAUUCACAGGCUCUGACGUGUCACUACAUUGCUAGUGGCUUUGACCUUUGACCCGUGUGACCUGUCUGUUCCCGCGCUGCACAUCUCUGCCUCUCGCCGCUGGACUCUUUAGAGCACUCAGAAGACUGCCAUCAGGCAGCUCCGUCUCUCUCUGCUUCUUCUUCUUCUCUCUCUCUCUCUCCUGCUUCCUCUGCUGGGCUGUGAGACCCCGAAGCAGCUUGUUAGUGGUGGGCCAAGUAUUGAUCUGGCAGGUCUGUCGAUGCGGGGAGAUUGAGCCGAGCUCCACUAGAGACUCUCCACCAGCAGGCUGCUAUUGACACACUACACACACACACACAAACAGAGCAGCGGCCCGCAGGAGACUCUUCACAGGCAAGUUGCUAUCGACGUUUUCUCGACUCGGCCGACACAACUGCUCACUGUAUGACAAGGCUGAGACCGGCCCGAGUCCCCAGAGAGCUGCGCUGACACGACACAGUGACCCGUGCGCUAGUUUUUCUUUUCUUUCAGCACGCUCAUCCAGGUUUUUCCCACCCUAACGCGCUCCACGGGGAGGCUGCUCUUCCUCCGACUAGUGAUCAAGCCAGUUUAUUGGCAGGCCUGCUGAUGGACGCCAUGCUGGAGAAGAUGAAGGAGGGCAAAGUGCUGACAGAGGAACUGGCUUCGCUUACAGCUGCAGUCAGCGAAAACGGCUGACCAGAGGAGAAAAAGAGACAGAAAGGGAGCGAGAGACUGUAAUACUGAUGUGUGUUGGCCGUAAAGCCGCAUGGCAGCAGAGGCCCUCGUCUCCAGCUGUUGGGGAGAUUAUUCUUUCUUGAUUUGAUCUAGCGUUUUAGUUGGAUGUAAAUUAUCGUGCACUUGAUGUUUUGACCUGACUUUCACAUGAAGAAUAUUUAAGACACAUUAGCAUGUCAGUGUAAGCUGGAUAAUCAACACAGAGAAAUAAAAGAUUAAAAACUGAA